rnacentral:rRNA from 1 species
AACGAACGCUGGCGGCAGGCUUAACACAUGCAAGUCGAACGAGAUCUUCGGAUCUAGUGGCAGACGGGUGAGGAACACGUGGGAACAUCCCUUUCAGUUCGGAAUAAAGUUGGGAAACUAACGCUAAUACCGGAUACGUCCUUAGGGAGAAAGAUUUAUCGCUGAGAGAUUGGCCCGCGUCUGAUUAGCUAGUUGGUGAGGUAAUGGCUUACCAAGGCUACGAUCAGUAGCUGAUCUGAGAGGAUGAUCAGCCACAUUGGGACUGAGACACGGCCCAAACUCCUACGGAAGGCAGCAGUGGGGAAUAUUGGACAAUGGGCGCAAGCCUGAUCCAGCCAUGCCGCGUGAGUGAUGACGGCCUUCGGGUUGUAAAGCUCUUUUGUCCGGGAAGAUAAUGACUGUACCGGAAGAAUAAGCCCCGGCAAAUUUCGUGCCAGCCGCCGCCGUAA